GGGCUUGUAGCUCAGUUGGUAGAGCGCCGCUAUGGCAUGGCGGAGGUCAGGGGUUCAAAUCCCCUCAAGUCCA
rnacentral:tRNA from 1 species